GAUGAAAAUACUCAGUUACGUUGAGUUAAACCAGUGACGGCGUCUUUUGUAAUUAAAUGAAGUAAUUUU
rnacentral:tRNA from 1 species